rnacentral:rRNA from 1 species
AGAGUUUGAUCCUGGCUCAGGAUGAACGCUGGCGGCGUGCUUAACACAUGCAAGUCGAACGGACCCAUAUUGAAACCUAGUGAUAUAUGGGUUAGUGGCGGACGGGUGAGUAACGCGUGGGUAACCUGCCUUACACAGGGGGAUAACACUUAGAAAUAGGUGCUAAAACCGCAUAAGCGCACAGCUUCGCAUGAAGCGGUGUGAAAAACUCCGGUGGUGUAAGAUGGACCCGCGUCUGAUUAGCUUGUUGGCGGGGUAACGGCCCACCAAGGCGACGAUCAGUAGCCGGCCUGAGAGGGCGGACGGCCACAUUGGGACUGAGACACGGCCCAGACUCCUACGGGAGGCAGCAGUGGGGAAUAUUGCACAAUGGGGGAAACCCUGAUACAGCGACGCCGCGUGAGUGAAGAAGUAAUUCGUUACGUAAAGCUCUAUCAGCAGGGAAGAAAUACUGACCUUACGGUCAGCAGACGGUACCUGAGUAAGAAGCCCCGGCUAACUACGUG